rnacentral:sRNA from 1 species
ACUACAAAAACACAAACCAAGCUUCUUCUUGAUUCUCAAAGCUUUGAUGGUGAAGCCGAAGUUCUUAUGAGUUUUUUGGUUUUGAAUCGUAUAACAAGGGAGC